rnacentral:snRNA from 1 species
GGCUUUGUGCAGUGGUAGUAUUGUAGCCAGUGAGGUUUGUCCGAGGCACAUUGAUUGCUAACGACAAAGACAUAGUUAAUAGAAAUUACUGCUUCCUAUAAUAUGG